GGAUUUAAUUAUCAAAUUGUUCAAGAAAUCACUAGUAUCUUGUUUAAUAAUAAUAAUAAUAAUAAUAAUAAUAAUAAUAAUAAUAAUAAUAAUAAUAAUAAUAGUCAUAAACAUUACAAGGUUUUUUUCCAUUUAAAGUGUUCGUCUCUUCUUCUUGCUUCAAUUUUGGGUUUUUUAUUUCAAGGAGCUUUUGGUUUGGAACAAACCUCAUGAAAGUGAUAAUGAAUAUAAAAGAAAAUGGGGGUAUCCUGGUUACGACUUACGAAACUUCCGCAUAAACAUUAGUGGCUUGCGAGAGUGGAUUUGAUUAUAUUAUAUUUGACGAGGACCAUGAAUUGUGAAAUCAGAAUCAGACUUACUAAUCGUGGCAGAGAGUCGAUGCAUAUCAUAGAAUAAUAGUAUCCGGUAUGCCCGUACAAAAUGAUCUCAACAAAGUAUGGAAUUUAUUCCACUUUUGCAGAAAUUCCCUUUUUGACACGAAAAGAAUAAUCAAAGGAAAAUUGAGUGAUUGCAAAGGGACAUUACAAAGACGCGGGUACCCCACACAAAUGUCAAUGUGAACAAGCUUGCAUUGAUUGAGCUAGCAAGAUUAAGCCUUACUAUAUAUGUUGGAUGAAAGAACAAGUUUUGGAUAACGAUUUAGCUAAAAAAAACCGAGCUGGUUGUGUGGGUAACGCAGCCACUCGCUAGGUACUUAAAAUCAUAGUUGUGUGUCUGAUAUAUAAUCAUAAAUAUAAAAAUUUUCAAUACCUGACGAGUGGCUAGCGGUAACUACACAUCUGCCUCCGUUUUUUUAGGUAAAUCGUUAGUCAAAACCUGUUCUUUCAUCCUACAUAUAUAGUAAGGCUUAAUCUUGUUAGCUAUAUCCAUGCAAGCUUGUUCACAUUUAUGUUUGUGUGGGGUACUCGCGUCCUUGUAAUGUCCUUUUUCAAUGUCGCUCAAUAUUUUUUUAUUCACUCUGUGUCGAAAAAGGAAUUUGUGCAAAAGUGGAAUAAAUUUCAUAUUUCGAUGAAA